rnacentral:lncRNA from 1 species
CUUGAUUUUCAAUCUAAGAUAUUCUAUCGCUAGUUUAUUACUUUGGGCAAGUUAUCUAAAAAUCUGUGAUCCUAUAUUCUGUCUUUAAAAUGAAAGUAAUAAUAUUUACUUUCCAGUGUUUCAGUGUGAAUAACUGAGAUACUCUAAGUAGUAGUUAUUGAUCUCAACAAUCAUUUAUUUGGCUUCUAAUAUAUGCCAGAGCAUUUGAAAUUCAAAAUAAAAUAUAGUUUCUGACCUCAAGAAAUUCAUCAUUCAAUGGAAGAGACAAGAUUAUAUACAUAUAAUUAGAAUGAGAUGUAGAAGUGCCAAUAGAGGUAGGUGCAAAACACUAGGGAAAAAAGAAAAGCAUCAUUCUGGUGGAUGGGUGAGGUUUCUCCAGGUAGACAAGAUGGGUAGUUGUUCCCAUCAGCAGGAAGGGCGGUGAAAAGACAUGAUGUGGUGCAGCAACAUGGCUCGCUGAACAGCCAAGAGGAGGUGGAAGAGGCAACAAGAAAUGGGCUCCAGGGCCUGAUCACAUUCACCUGGUUUCAGUCAUGGUAAGGACUGUCCCAGAUUUCAGAGCCUUCAAAGAAGAUCUUAACUCUA